rnacentral:rRNA from 1 species
GAUGAACGCUGGCGGCGUGCUUAACACAUGCAAGUCGAACGGGAAACAUUUUAUUGAAGCUUCGGCAGAUUUAGCUUGUUUCUAGUGGCGGACGGGUGAGUAACGCGUGGGUAACCUGCCUCACACUGGGGGAUAACAGUCAGAAAUGACUGCUAAUACCGCAUAAGCGCACGGAACCGCAUGGUUUUGUGUGAAAAACUCCGGUGGUAUGAGAUGGACCCGCGUCUGAUUAGCUAGUUGGUGGGGUAACGGCCUACCAAGGCGACGAUCAGUAGCCGGCCUGAGAGGGUGAACGGCCACAUUGGGACUGAGACACGGCCCAG